CGCAAGUCUGAUGGCAGCAACGCCGCGUGAUUGAAGAAGGGUUUUGGCUCGUAAAACUCUGUUGUUAAAGAAGAACGUGUUUGAGAGUAACUGUUCAGCCAGUGGCGGUAUUUAACCAGAAAAGCACGGCUAAAUUCGUUCCAGCAGCCGCGGUAAUUCGUGGGGGGCAAGCGUUAUCUGGAUUUUUUGGGGGUAAAGCGAGCGCAGGCGGUUUUUUUAAUUUGAUGUGAAAGUCUUCGGCUCAAACGAUGAAAUGCAUUGGAAACUGGGAAACUUGAGUGCAUAAGGGGGCAGUGGAAAUCCGUGGGGAACGGUGAAAAGGGGAGAAAUUUGGAAGGACUCCAGUGGGGAAAGGGGCCCUCUGGGCUGUAACUGACCGUGAGGCUCAAAAGCAUGGGUAGCCAACCGGGUUAGAUUCCCUGGUAGUUCAUUCCGUAAACAAUGGUUUAUAAACGUGGGAGGGUCUCCAGCCUUCCAUGCUGCAGCUAACGCAUGGAGUUCA
rnacentral:rRNA from 1 species